UGAAGGAGUGCCCUGCUUCAUGAAGUUUCAGUCCCUUUGUGAAACAGUCUCAGGAGUUCACAGGAUAAAAGUGAAGGCUGGGGUUGGACUAUGACCUUUUCAUGGAGAUAGAGGCAAAACCAGGAUUCAACUGAGUAUAAUUUGAAUAGUCAGUAAGGUGAGGAAUGACGGACUGGUUAACUGUUGCAGACUGUAGUAAUAACCAGGAUCUUUGUGAAGAGACACAUUAACACAAGCAGAGUUCUGCUAACUUUCACAUCACCAAUGAAGUUACACUUACAGGCUACUGUGGUGAAAGUCACCAAGCAGAGUCCAUAUGGAAGCCACUGGGUCCACCCUAAAUGUGGGAUUUCAGGAACACCUUGUAUGCUACAAGGAAACAAGGCCAGUCACCUGCUGCUUAGACCACUCCGAAGAAGUCUGCCUUUUCAAUGAGCUUCAUCAAAAGCAAGAUAACUUAAAGCAGCAGAUUCAAAAAAAAGCAAUUCACCAAAAUUCUCAUGAGUAGGACAAGUAGUAGUAGUAAAAAAACAAAAACAAAAACCUACCUUUUUAAACCUUAAGUGAGAGAUCCUUAUCCAUAGAGAUAAAUAAAAAAACAAUAUGAAUGGGAUUUUUUUUUUUUCCUUGAAGGGGAAAGGGUAAGUUUUCAACUGAUUAGGCAACAGGCCUGAAAUCUUUAUGUGAAAAAUACCAGCGGGUUGGCUCACCCUCCCAAAUUUCUCCUGUGGCUUCUUUUUCAAGAGAAAUGUUCAGUUCACUGUAGGAGAAAACAUGGAAACUGCUCCUACUGAAUCAGAAAGGAGAGGUCUCCCGGAUUUGUAUAUGGUUACAACUAAAAACAGUCCCCCUGCCAAGCUGAAUUCCCCCGGAGAUGCCUCUCCGGCCACUCAAACCUAGGCCAUUACCACUUUUUCAAAUCGCACGUAGA